UACGUAGGGGGCAAGCGUUGUCCGGAUUCAUUGGGCGUAAAGAGCUCGUAGGCGGCUUGGCAAGUCGGGUGUGAAACCUCCAGGCUCAACCUGGAGACGCCACCCGAUACUGCCAUGGCUAGAGUCCGGUGAGGGGACCACGGAAUUCCUGGUGUAGCGGUGGAAAUGCGCAAGAUAUCGGGAAGAACACCCGUGGCGAAGGCGGUUCUCUGGGACGGUACUGGACGGCUGAGACGCGAAAGCGUGGGGAGCGAACAGGAUU
rnacentral:rRNA from 1 species